UCAGGUAUAAAUAAGAAGUUCCAGGUGAGAGGUGAGUCGGGAAGAAGUUGAGAGGAGACAUUUCUAGAGCUGGCAGAAGAGGAGGGGAAACCUUUAUAGAUCACAUGACCAAAAUAAAUGGAGGAGGACUGCAAUCACAUGACUGAGAGGAUACUAAACCUCACCCUGGAGAUCAUCUACCUGCUGACUGGAGAGAGAUUUCCUCUUGUGAAGUCAG